rnacentral:rRNA from 1 species
UGGGGAAUAUUGGACAAUGGGGGGAACCCUGAUCCAGCCAUGCCGCGUGUGUGAAGAAGGCCUUAUGGUUGUAAAGCACUUUAAGCGAGGAGGAGGGUACUGGUAUUAAUACUACCAGGUACUGGACGUUACUCGCAGACUAAGCACCGGCUAACUCUGUGCCAGCAGCCGCGGUAAUACAGAGGGUGCGAGCGUUAAUCGGAUUUACUGGGCGUAAAGCGUGCGUAGGCGGCUAAUUGAGUCGGAUGUGAAAUCCCCGAGCUUAACUUGGGAAUUGCAUUCGAUACUGGUUAGAUAGAGUGUGGGAGAGGAUGGUAGAAUUCCAGGUGUAGCGGUGAAAUGCGUAGAGAUCUGGAGGAAUACCGAUGGCGAAGGCAGACAUCUGGAAUAACACUGACACUGAGGUACGAAAGCAUGGGGAGCAAACAGG